rnacentral:rRNA from 1 species
GGGGCAGCAUGGUCUUAGCUUGCUAAGGCCGAUGGCGACCGGCGCACGGGUGAGUAACACGUAUCCAACCUGCCGUCUACUCUUGGACAGCCUUCUGAAAGGAAGAUUAAUACAAGAUGGCAUCAUGAGUCCGCAUGUUCACAUGAUUAAAGGUAUUCCGGUAGACGAUGGGGAUGCGUUCCAUUAGAUAGUAGGCGGGGUAACGGCCCACCUAGUCUUCGAUGGAUAGGGGUUCUGAGAGGAAGGUCCCCCACAUUGGAACUGAGACACGGUCCAAACUCCUACGGGAGGCAGCAGUGAGGAAUAUUGGUCAAUGGGCGAGAGCCUGAACCAGCCAAGUAGCGUGAAGGAUGACUGCCCUAUGGGUUGUAAACUUCUUUUAUAAAGGAAUAAAGUCGGGUAUGGAUACCCGUUUGCAUGUACUUUAUGAAUAAGGAUCGGCUAACUCCGUGCCAGCAGCCGCGGUAAUACGGAGGAUCCGAGCGUUAUCCGGAUUUAUUGGGUUUAAAGGGAGCGUAGAUGGAUGUUUAAGUCAGUUGUGAAAGUUUGCGGCUCAACCGUAAAAUUGCAGUUGAUACUGGAUAUCUUGAGUGCAGUUGAGGCAGGCGGAAUUCGUGGUGUAGCGGUGAAAUGCUUAGAUAUCACGAAGAACUCCGAUUGCGAAGGCAGCCUGCUAAGCUGCAACUGACAUUGAGGCUCG